UUGAAGAGUUUGAUCAUGGCUCAGAUUGAACGCUGGCGGCAGGCCUAACACAUGCAAGUCGAGCGGUAGCACAGAGAGCUUGCUCUCGGGUGACGAGCGGCGGACGGGUGAGUAAUGUCUGGGAAACUGCCUGAUGGAGGGGGAUAACUACUGGAAACGGUAGCUAAUACCGCAUAACGUCGCAAGACCAAAGUGGGGGACCUUCGGGCCUCAUGCCAUCAGAUGUGCCCAGAUGGGAUUAGCUAGUAGGUGGGGUAACGGCUCACCUAGGCGACGAUCCCUAGCUGGUCUGAGAGGAUGACCAGCCACACUGGAACUGAGACACGGUCCAGACUCCUACGGGAGGCAGCAGUGGGGAAUAUUGCACAAUGGGCGCAAGCCUGAUGCAGCCAUGCCGCGUGUGUGAAGAAGGCCUUCGGGUUGUAAAGCACUUUCAGCGGGGAGGAAGGCGUUAAGGUUAAUAACCUCAUCGAUUGACGUUACCCGCAGAAGAAGCACCGGCUAACUCCGUGCCAGCAGCCGCGGUAAUACGGAGGGUGCAAGCGUUAAUCGGAAUUACUGGGCGUAAAGCGCACGCAGGCGGUCUGUCAAGUCGGAUGUGAAAUCCCCGGGCUCAACCUGGGAACUGCAUUCGAAACUGGCAGGCUAGAGUCUUGUAGAGGGGGGUAGAAUUCCAGGUGUAGCGGUGAAAUGCGUAGAGAUCUGGAGGAAUACCGGUGGCGAAGGCGGCCCCCUGGACAAAGACUGACGCUCAGGUGCGAAAGCGUGGGGAGCAAACAGGAUUAGAUACCCUGGUAGUCCACGCCGUAAACGAUGUCGAUUUGGAGGUUGUGCCCUUGAGGCGUGGCUUCCGGAGCUAACGCGUUAAAUCGACCGCCUGGGGAGUACGGCCGCAAGGUUAAAACUCAAAUGAAUUGACGGGGGCCCGCACAAGCGGUGGAGCAUGUGGUUUAAUUCGAUGCAACGCGAAGAACCUUACCUGGUCUUGACAUCCACAGAACUUAGCAGAGAUGCUUUGGUGCCUUCGGGAACUGUGAGACAGGUGCUGCAUGGCUGUCGUCAGCUCGUGUUGUGAAAUGUUGGGUUAAGUCCCGCAACGAGCGCAACCCUUAUCCUUUGUUGCCAGCGGUCCGGCCGGGAACUCAAAGGAGACUGCCAGUGAUAAACUGGAGGAAGGUGGGGAUGACGUCAAGUCAUCAUGGCCCUUACGACCGGGCUACACACGUGCUACAAUGGCAUAUACAAAGAGAAGCGACCUCGCGAGAGCAAGCGGACCUCAUAAAGUAUGUCGUAGUCCGGAUUGGAGUCUGCAACUCGACUCCAUGAAGUCGGAAUCGCUAGUAAUCGUAGAUCAGAAUGCUACGGUGAAUACGUUCCCGGGCCUUGUACACACCGCCCGUCACACCAUGGGAGUGGGUUGCAAAAGAAGUAGGUAGCUUAACCUUCGGGAGGGCGCUUACCACUUUGUGAUUCAUGACUGGGGUGAAGUCGUAACAAGGUAACCGUAGGGGAACCUGCGGUUGGAUCACCUCCUU
rnacentral:rRNA from 1 species